CCUACGGGUGGCAGCAGUGGGGGAUAUUGCACAAUGGAGGAAACUCUGAUGCAGCGACGCCGCGUGAGGGAAGACGGUCUUCGGAUUGUAAACCUCUGUCUUUGGGGAAGAAAAUGACGGUACCCAAAGAGGAAGCUCCGGCUAACUACGUGCCAGCAGCCGCGGUAAUACGUAGGUGGCAAGCGUUGUCCGGAUUUACUGGGUGUAAAGGGCGUGCAGCCGGAGAGACAAGUCAGAUGUGAAAUCCACGGGCUCAACCCGUGAACUGCAUUUGAAACUGUUUCCCUUGAGUGUCGGAGAGGUAAUCGGAAUUCCUUGUGUAGCGGUGAAAUGCGUAGAUAUAAGGAAGAACACCAGUGGCGAAGGCGGAUUACUGGACGAUAACUGACGGUGAGGCGCGAAAGCGUGGGGAGCAAACAGGAUUAGAUACCCUUGUAGUC
rnacentral:rRNA from 1 species